rnacentral:rRNA from 1 species
GAUGAACGCUGGCGGCGUGCCUAAUACAUGCAAGUCGAACGAAAAGGCGCUGCGCUUGCGGCGUGGACGAUAGCCGAACACGUGUGUAAAACGCGUGUAAACCGUACCUAUCUGUGUGAGAUCACUUGGGAAAACCGGCGAAUAUACGGUAGAAUAUAUUGCAGCACAUUGUUCAAUGGAAAGAGUCGGUUGUGGUGUCAGUAAUCGCUGGAUACGAGCCGGAUUAGCUGGUUGUGAAGGUCACAGCUUACCACGGGUACCAUGCGUAAACGAGCGGAGAGGGUGAUCGGCGACACGGGAACUUAGACACGGUCCAGACUCCUACGGGAGGCAGCAGUAGGGAAUCGUCCGCAAUGGGCGAAAGCCUGACGGAGCAACGCCGCGUGAGUGAUGAAGGUCUUCGGAUCGUAAAACCCUGUUAUUAGUGAAGAACAAAUUUGGAAGGAACUAUGCACGGCGUGACGGUACCUAAUCAGAAAGCCCCGGCUAACUACGUG